UCCUCGACGUUCAAUCUUAUCCAUUUUUUGUUUUCAUGAAAAUAUGGUUGAUUUAGAUUGGAAAGCUAAGAUGGUGUCCUCUGAUCUCCCGAACAAAUCCCCUAAACUCUCUAACAAGCUUCAUGUCAUGAUCCCUUCCACGACGCCGUUUCGUGGGAUCACCAAUGUCUCGCCGGUAUCUGCUUCUGACUCUUCUUGUUCGGCUUACGAGCACUAUCUUCGCCUACCUGAGUUGAGGAAGUUGUGGACUUUUAAAAAGUUUCCCGAUUGGAAAAACGAGUCGAUUUUGAAACCGGCUUUGCAGGCUCUAGAGAUCAUGUUUCGGCUCGUUUCCACCGUUUUAUCGGACCCGAGACCCUACGCUAACCGGAGAGAAUGGAAACGGAGGCUCGAGUCACUUGCUACUUCUCAGAUCGAGCUGAUAGCUAUCCUGUGUGAAGAAGAGGAAGAAGAUGGAGACACACGUGGGACGGCACCGAUCCUUGAUUUACGCUCAUCUAACGGCAUUUUGGCUCGGGAUGGGAGCUACGCUGAGGUAUGGAAGGGCUCCUCUGAAACCAACCUGGUCAACAGGACCAGCGAGG
rnacentral:misc_RNA from 1 species